rnacentral:rRNA from 1 species
UUGGGAAUCUUGCACAAUGGGGGAAACCCUGAUGCAGCGACGCCGCGUGGAGGAUGAAGGAUCUAGGUCUGUAAACUCCUUUUUCAGGGAAAGACUUAGGACGGUACCCUGAGAAUAAGGACCGGCUAACUACGUGCCAGCAGCCGCGGUAAGACGUAGGGUCCAAGCGUUGUCCGGAUUUACUGGGCGUAAAGAGCGCGUAGGCGGUCUGUUAAGUGUGAAGCUAAAUCUCUGGGCUCAACCCGGAAACUAUUUCGCAUACUGGCAGACUAGAGUGAUGCAGAGGUUUGUGGAAUUCCUGGUGUAGCGGUGAAAUGCGUUGAUAUCAGGAGGAACACCCAUGGCGAAGGCAGCAAACUGGGCAUUAACUGACGCUGAGGUGCGAAAGCGUGGGUAGCAAACAGGAUUAGAUACCCCCGUAGUCC